rnacentral:rRNA from 1 species
UACGUAGGUGGCAAGCGUUGUCCGGAAUUACUGGGCGUAAAGGGCGCGUAGGCGGUACCCUAAGUUAGAUGUGAAACCCCGGAGCUUAACUUCGGAACUGCAUUUAAAACUGGGGAACUCGAGUGUCGGAGAGGAAAGCGGAAUUCCUAGUGUAGCGGUGAAAUGCGUAGAUAUUAGGAGGAACACCAGUGGCGAAGGCGGCUUUCUGGACUGUAACUGACACUGAGGCAUGAAAGCGUGGGUAGCAAACAGG